CCUACGGGUGACAGCAGUGGGGGAUAUUGCACAAUGGAGGGAACUCUGAUGCAGCGACGCCGCGUGAGGGAAGAAGGUUUUCGGAUGGUAAACCUCUGUCUGCGGGGACGAAACGAGACGGUAGCCGAGGAGGAAGCCACGGCUAACUACGUGCCAGCAGCCGCGGGAAGAAGUAGGUGGCAAGCGUUGUCCGGAAUUACGGGGGGUAAAGGGAGCGUAGGCGGGAAAGCAAGUUGAAUGUUUAAGGUACGGGCUCAACCUGUACCGGCGUUCAAAACGGUUUUUCUUGCGUGGAGGAGAGGUAAGCGUAAUUCCUCGUGUCGCGGUUCACUGCGUACAUCUUACGCGGCACCCCAGUUGC
rnacentral:rRNA from 1 species